GGCAAUGGAGCCCAGUGGUCCUGACCACAAGAAUCGGACCAUCUCAUCUCCUCCUCCUCUUUUUGUUGAAUAGACUCCUCAACCACUUUUGCAAAAUACCCAGCCGUUAAAAAAGGUUCCCUAAGGCCGGUGCAUAACUUUCCUACGAAAUUUAUAUGCUUUUGCAUAAAAGCCUUUGUGAAAAGCAAACACAAACUUUUUUCCUUUGAUAUUGAAGCUGAUGGAGGCCGACUAGUCCCAUGACUUCCCCAUUUUGUCCUUUCUCCCUUAUAAUCCACCAAGUGGUUUUACUAAU
rnacentral:lncRNA from 1 species